CCAAACAGCCACAUUACAAAUUUACAUCUUUGUGUUUUGUUUUUUUUAACAAUCCAAGGUUUUUAAUUUCAUAUAGCACCACCAGAAUUGUAGAGGCUGAGUUAUGGAUGUUUAUGCCAUCUAUUUCACUUAAACGUUUUCUAAGCUCUUGGCGUGUAUUACUCACAGGUUAUGUAGUAAUGCCAUCUUACUGCUCAUCCU